rnacentral:rRNA from 1 species
UACGAAGGGGGCUAGCGUUGCUCGGAAUCACUGGGCGUAAAGGGUGCGUAGGCGGGUCUUUAAGUCAGGGGUGAAAUCCUGGAGCUCAACUCCAGAACUGCCUUUGAUACUGAGGAUCUUGAGUUCGGGAGAGGUGAGUGGAACUGCGAGUGUAGAGGUGAAAUUCGUAGAUAUUCGCAAGAACACCAGUGGCGAAGGCGGCUCACUGGCCCGAUACUGACGCUGAGGCACGGAAAGCGAUGGGGAGCCAAACAGGG